rnacentral:rRNA from 1 species
UACGAAGGGGGCUAGCGUUGCUCGGAAUCACUGGGCGUAAAGCGCACGUAGGCGGCUUUCUAAGUCAGGGGUGAAAUCCUGGAGCUCAACUCCAGAACUGCCUUUGAUACUGGAGAGCUUGAGUCCGGGAGAGGUGAGUGGAACUCCGAGUGUAGAGGUGAAAUUCGUAGAUAUUCGGAAGAACACCAGUGGCGAAGGCGACUCGCUGGACAAGUAUUGACGCUGAGGUGCGAAAGCGUGGGGAGCAAACAGG